AUUUUGAAAUUUUGUGGAAUUUUGAAAUUUUUUGGAAUUUUGAAAUUUUGUGGAAUUUUUAAUUUUUUAAAUUUUUUGGAAUUUUGAAAUUUUAGAAAUUUUGAAAUUUUUUGGAAUUUUGAAAUUUCUUGGAAUUUUGAAAUUUCUUGGAAUUCUGAAAUUUUUUGGAAUUUUGAAAUUUUUUGGAAUAUUGAAAUUUUUUGAAAUUUUGAAAUUUUUUGGAAUUUUGAAAAUUUUGAAAUUUUUUGGAAUUUUGAAAUUUUU
ensembl:ncRNA Y69H2.21 ncRNA